UGGGGAAGGCAGCCUUGGCCCAGCUCCUUCCCUCCCCUGCACCUGAACACAAGGAAAGAAACUGACCCUGCUCCCGCUCCUCAUGAGUGAAAUCCUGACUGCAACUGCUGCCACUUCCUGCCUCACAUGCCAACCUCCUGGAAUGCCUCCCAAGGGCUCCAUAUGCCAUGUAUAGCUGACCUUUGGAACUCACUGCUACAGGAGUGUGCAUGUCCCACUCCCAGCAGAGGGCCAGUCUGGGCACCUCCUUGCCAGAGAAAUGCUGAUGCUUGGAGAAGGCUCCGGGAAGAAGAAGAACAACAACAACAAAAAAGGAUCCGGGAUAUUGAAUGGGCUGAUUUACAAGGAAAGGUGGGAGUGACAUAUGUGUUGCUUGGCUAAGAGCUGACUACAGAGGAGGGGAAAUGAUGCCAGACUACAAAUGUUUGAUGGGUGUAAAC